rnacentral:rRNA from 1 species
CCUGAGACACGGACCCAGCCCCUAUGGGCGCAGCAAGGCGAGAAACCUUUGCAAUGUGCGAAAGCACGACAAGGUUAAUCCGAGUGUCUCCUGCUAAAGGAGUCUUUUGUCAGUUGUAGAAUCACUGGUGAAUAAGGGGUGGGCAAGUUCUGGUGUCAGCCGCCGCGGUAAAACCAGCACCUCGAGUGGUCAGGAGGUUUAUUGGGCCUAAAGCAUCCGUAGCCGGUUGCAUAAGUUUUCGGUUAAAUCUAUGCGCUUAACGUAUAGGCCGCCGAAAAUACUGUGCAGCUAGGGAGUGGGAGAGGUACACGGUACUCGAUAGGAAGGGGUAAAAUCCUUUGAUCUAUUGAAGACCACCUGUGGCGAAGGCGGUGUACCAGAACACGUUCGACGGUGAGGGAUGAAAGCUGGGGGAGCAAACCGGAUUAGAUACCCGGGUAGUCCCAGCUGUAAACGAUGCAGACUCGGUGAUGCAUUGGCUUGUGGCCAAUGCAGUGCCGCAGGGAAGCCGUUAAGUCUGCCGCCUGGGAAGUACGUACGCAAGUAUGAAACUUAAAGGAAUUGGCGGGGGAGCACCACAAGGGAUGAAGCCUGCGUUCAAUUGGAGUCACGC